UCACCUGUGAAACACCUGGUGCAUGAGCCAUGUGUGCACCAUCAGACCAGCGUCACCAAGCUUGGAGUGAAAGUUGACACAGCUGAUGCAGGUUCACCCAGCGCGGCGAUGCUACCCUGCAGCGGCCAUGAAUGCUGUUGCUAAUAAAAUCACACCUGGAUGGAUGGAGGGGUUAAUUGGCUGGUUUACCUUAAAGUUCACGUUAUCCAGGUGACUGUAACAAGCAAAGACUAUAAAAACAGAGAAAAGCAGCAGAAACUCAGGAUCUGAAUCAAAUCUGAAGACCUGAAGAUGAG